rnacentral:misc_RNA from 1 species
GAUGAAGAACGUAGCGAAAUGCGAUAAGUAAUGUGAAUUGCAGAAUUCAGUGAAUCAUCGAAUCUUUGAACGCACAUUGCGCCCCCUGGUAUUCCGGGGGGCAUGCCUGUUCGAGCGUCAUUUCACCACUCAAGCCUCGCUUGGUAUUGGGCAACGCGGUCCGCCGCGUGCCUCAAAUCGACCGGCUGGGUCUUCUGUCCCCUAAGCGUUGUGGAAACUAUUCGCUAAAGGGUGUUCGGGAGGCUACGCCGUAAAACAACCCCAUUUCUAAGGUUGACCUCGGAUCAGGUAGCGAUACCCGCUGAACUUAAGCAUAUCAAUAAGCGGAGGA